rnacentral:tRNA from 1 species
GCCCUCGUGGUGUAACGGUAGCACUCUCGGCGCGUAUUCGAGAGAUCCAGGUUCGAGUCCCGGCAAGCGCA